AUAGGUCCUAAACCAUGACCAUAGAUCUAUGGUCACCCUUUUUACUAGCUAUGGUCACGGUUAGGCCUUUUUUUUUAGUGAGCUGCUGUGGAUGAUGAAGAGGAGGCAACAAGACUAGAAGAGAUGUUCUGUGAGGAAUCAAUGGAAGAUGUUAAGCAACUGAAGCAGCAGCAGCUCAACCUCCGGAAGCUCAUCUAAAAUCUCCAACAAUUUCACAACCUGUUCUUGAUUCAGUUAUGCCUCAUUCAGUUAGGCCACCAAGUGCAAAAAGACCCCCUAAGAAGAAGAAGAAUCUGAAAAGACCCCACUAACUACUCAUCUACCACCAUGUGCUCAAUCACUUGUGAGGCCACCAACACCAAAUGUGUAACUAUCAGUAAAGCCAUCACCUCCAACUACUCAUGUGCCCCCACUAUGACACCUCAAACCAUGCAAGAUGCCUCUCAGAAAACUACUUCAAGGUUCAUGGACUUUAUGCCAACUCCUACAAUUAGAGGAUCAAGUUCAACUAGGUGGCCACAGCCAAGCUUUCAUCCACCAGCAAGCUAAGAAAAGGGUCAACCACUGCACAAUUGAAUGGAGGAUCAAACAGAAGCAGCAAUUCUACUCCAAAUUCACGAAGCAAACAUGUUUAAAUUAUGUUAUUUUGUUGGAUAUGUAGUUUAUGUUAUUUUGUUAGAUAUGUCACAUACUUUACUCUAUUUUAAUUAUGUUUUGGUUUUUU